CUCCAGACUCCUACGGGAGGCAGCAGUGGGGAAUAUUGCACAAUGGGGGAAACCCUGAUGCAGCGACGCCGCGUGAGCGAUGAAGUAUUUCGGUAUGUAAAGCUCUAUCAGCAGGGAAGAAGAUGACGGUACCUGUCGAAUAAGCCACGGCUAACUACGUGCCAGCAGCCGCAGUAAUACGUAGGUGGCAAGCGUUGUCCGGAUUUACUGGGUGUAAAGGGCGUGUAGCCGGGCUGACAAGUCAGAUGUGAAAUCCGGGGGCUCAACCCCCGAACUGCAUUUGAAACUGUUGGUCUUGAGUAUCGGAGAGGCAGGCGGAAUUCCUAGUGUAGCGGUGAAAUGCGUAGAUAUUAGGAGGAACACCAGUGGCGAAGGCGGCCUGCUGGACGACAACUGACGGUGAGGCGCGAAAGCGUGGGGAGCAAACAGGAUUAGAUACCCCGGUACGU
rnacentral:rRNA from 1 species